rnacentral:lncRNA from 10 species
GUCAGAUCCGACGUAAAUGCGCCGGGUGCUGCUGGGCCUGGUCUGAGAGUAACAGCCCCUAAAGGUCACUUCCUUUAGAGCGUCGCGUGUGGGUCUCUGCGCCCUGGAGUCGCUUUGCCUCAGCGAUCUCGCCGACUUCCGAGGGGUGUGUGCGGCCUGCCGGAUGCAAGGCGGGAGGUCGAGCCCUUGGCACCUGCUGGGCCCAGAUUCGUUCUGGUGACCGCAGCCCGCAGGCUCAGCAAAGAACGACGACGAUUUGCCUGUUCCCAUCCCGAGAGCCUUGGUGUCUUGGGGAAUCGGAUGCAGUCUCUGAUGUUUUAACCACCUCGUUGGUGGCUCAUUGGAAAAUCUGCAAAGCCCAGUGUGGAAGCAAGGCUUAGCUUGGACAGCGUUUUCUGUUUCUCUCUCUCGGGUUGUUUAUGGAAAACGCUUAUUGCCAUCCCUUCCAUGGCAUCUUAUUUCUUUUGUUUUCUUUCUGAGAAGUAGAGACGGGGUCUUGCUAUGUUGCCAAGGCUUAUAUUGAACCCCUGGGCUCAAGCGAUCCUCCCGCCUUGGCCUCACAAAGUUUUCGGAUCACAGGCAUGAGCCACCGCCCCCAGCCAGCAUCUUAUUUCUUUUUUUUUUUUUUUUUCCAAGGCAGAAGAAUUUUUCUUAGUACAGAACAAAAUGAAAAGUCUCCCAUGUCUACUUCUAUCCACACAGACCCGGCAACCAUCCGAUUUCUCAAUUUUUUCCCCACCCUUCCCGCCUUUCUAUUCCACAAAACCGCCAUUGUCAUCAUGGCCCAUCCCCAAUGAGCCGCUGGGCACACCUCCCAGACGGGGUCCUGGCCGGGCAGAGGGGCUCCUCACUUCCCAGUAGGGGCGGCCGGGCAGAAGCGCCCCUCACCUCCCGGA